UGUAUCUUUCACAAUUUGUUUUUUGACAACAACCAAUCUUUGAUCAAAAUGGUUUCUCUUCAUUUCUAACAAAAAAGUGACCAGAACUACCAUCAGAUAGCAAUGCCAACCUCAGAAUUGAUUCAGCACCUUCAUCAGGUGUUAGAUAACCUGUAUUGUAAAUAAUAUCUGUUUUCACAAAGCCAGGACAAACAACAUUGAUGCAUAUUGAUGGAUACUUUCUAGCCACAACCCUUGUAUAGGCAUUUAGAGCAACUUUUGAGAUAAUGUAAGUAGACAAAUUAUUAUCAGGCCAACCUUUGUUUUCUAGUGACCCCUCUUUAAAAUCCUUUAGAAAUUGAUUCAAAACUUCAUCAAUCUUUUCUUCUGUAAGUUCUUCAACAUCACUCAAUACUUCCUUAGGCCAUCCAUUUGGAAGUUUCUGCAAAUAAAAUUGCAUGAAAAUGAGCAUCAUCUACAAUAGCCUAAUAUAUCAAAAUAAGAGUGAAUUUAUAAAUUGAUUCUCAAAAUUAUUAGAACCGGUCAUAUAUAGUCUCUGAAUUUUACAAAUUGGUCAAAAGGAUCCUUUCGUUGAAUUGGUACUGUUAGAAGUUAUGAUGUAGUCCUUCUUGUCAUGCAUAUAAGCAACUAUUUCUUUUUUAAAUUCAUAAAAUAACUUAUAUAUAUUUAUAUAUGAUAUAUCAAUUAUUUAAUAAAUUUAAAAAAUAAUAAUGACUUAUACAUAUUACCAGAAGGAGUAACAUGUUAUAUUAACGUGUGGCCUUAGUGUGCAGAUGCCACAUAAAUGUCAUGUUACCAAAAACCUUCUAUGGCACAUUAAAUUCAUUAAUAUUAUAUCAUCUCUAGAGCUACCACCUCGGGAGCCACAAAUAAACUUGCAUCUUAUAUUUCAUAUUUUAUUGCCACUUGAGAUCUAUGUAAGAGGCCACAUGUUCAAUUAAGGUAUCACCUCAUAGGCUCAAACAAUAUAUAAAAGUUAGUAGAGGGACAUUUUGACACAUGUGCAGUUCUGUUUCUGAGAUUUUGAUGGUAUGAGGCAAAAGCACAACUUGGACGCUAUGAGCAUUUAUAAAUGCAAAGUCAAUAAUAAUUAUGUACGCAACAAUAUGUUAUAUCAUAUCUUUCUUCAACAAAAAAAAAAAGAUGUGAAGUUUUUCAAUAAUUUUAAUGAAAAACUUAUUUCUACACAUGCAACAAUCAUCGACAUAGAUCCCCGUGAGCUUUGCUUAGUUGGUAGAGAUAUUACAUUUUAUAUGCAGGGGCCGGGGUUUGAACCCCGAACACUCCACUUCUCCACAAUUAAAUAUAGGCACUAGACUAUUUGACAAAAAAAAAAAAUCAUCGACAUAGUUAAGAGAAUUUGAUAAGCAAUUGAAGCAUUUGACAAACUCAUGAAUUUCAAAUGUUGACAUCAACACAUUUAACAAAGAUAUUUGUAAUACUUUUAAUACAUAAAAAAUCAUUUGCGUCAACAUUCGACAAAUACUUAUGAAAAAACGCAGCCUCAUAAUUUGUUUAAGAUUUUUUUUAAUUCAUCAUUUCCAAUGAUUUUAAGGUUCUUGCAGCAAAUAAAAGUUCAACAAUACUUUUAAAUACUUCAAACUGCUCAAAACUAAUUUUCAAUAAAACUAUUGUCAUAUCAACAACCAUAAAAGCAAUGAUUGACUCUAAAUGAUUCCUCGGUGAUUGUAUUUGCUUAUCAUUAUCAUUAUCACCAUAUUGUCUUUUUCUAAAGCUGCAACACUUUGUCGAAAGUGUCGGCUCUACACUCAUAUCAAAUGCAAGGCUUUUGGCUACGAUCAUACUAGGUUUUAUUUCUAUAUUUUUCAAAGUAUAAGAUUAUACCUUACACUUUUUUUUUUUUUUUUUUUAAAUAUUGGGGCCCAUAUUUUAGAAUUAUUUUUUGGGAUAUAGGAUUGUUGUCCUCUUCACCCUGCCUUAGAUAUAGUCCUGCUAAUGUGUUACAUUUCUAGUUUUUAAAAAUGUAUUUGCUAAUUCUUAACGGAAAAGCUUCAUAUUUUAAUUUUCGAUAUAUUGAAUGUAUAAGUUUUUAUAAAAACUUACUAUCUAAAGUUCUUAAGGAGUGCCUUAGAACAGUCAUUGACAUUUCUUUUAAAAGUUAAAUACUAUUUUGACUAUGCUCACAAUUUGAGGAUUAAUUUGCCUAUUUAUUCUCAAAGUUAAACAACAUAUAUACCUCAAAUCAAAUCAAUGAAAUAUUUAACUUAGAAAAUUUUCAUUAGUUUAAGUGUUUCUAAAUAAUCUUCCAAAGCAGUGCCACAUACCUCCAACUUUCCCAUGGAUGCGGAAACAUUGACAACUUUUGGUGAGCUUGAAAGCUGGAGAAAUGGAAUAAGGGCUUCUGUCAAGUCCUUUGCUCCAUAGUAGUUUGUUUUAAUACCUAAUUCAGUUUGUUCAUAGGUUUGAGUUAUUAUUUUACUCCAAUCAAUCUGGCCACCAUUUUCCUGUAACCAGAAACAAGAAAACUUUAUUUCUUAUGAUUGAAUUGUGAAGGAAGACACAAAUUUCAAGGUAUGACUUGAAAUUGUUAAUAAAUUUGACUAAUAUUAACAAUCUGUUUCUUCAUACAAGAGGAAAUAAUUUUCAGUUAAUUUUCAUAUGUUUGGCAUAUAUUGACUACAAGUAAUCAUUCUUUAUAUGCUUAAUUGCAGUUUUGGCCUCCUAAAUAUCACAAUCUUGCGAUUUUUAUCCCUUAUAAAAAAAAUAUCAAAUCAGCCCAUAUAUUUACCCCAUUUUGCACUUUCGGUCCCCCAGACCAAUUUUGACCAAAUCAAUGUAUACGUGACACCCACAUCACUUAAAAUGAGGUGCCACGUGUGACUUUAUAUUUUCUUAGGGGGUCAAAAUCGUAAGAUGGUGAUAUUUAGAGACCAAAACUGUAAUUAAGUCUAAUAAAUAAAAUGAUCUGGGUGCCACGUAAGCAUUGACCUAAUUAAAAUUGGUCUGAGGGGCCUUACUUGGGGUAAACUUAGGAGUUAAUUUGUUAUUAUUUAUUAUAGGAGGACAAAAUCAUAAAACUGUAAUACUUAAGGGUCAAAACUGUAACUAAACUAUCUUUAUAUUAAUUUAACAGUCGCAAUUGGAUCACAAUUCUUGACAUGGCGAGGAAUCACAAUCAAAUGCAAUGCAGUUGAUGCAGCUUCAACCAUGAUUGCAAUGACAUCAAAAGCCAUGAUGCUGCAGUCCAUGGAUCACGAUCACUAACCUUUUUCUAUAACUUUAUAACUACACAAAAUUUCAUAUUCGGAUUGCGACAAAUCAAAUAAAGCUCAUCUCAAAGUAAAACCAUUUUUGCUUGGACUACAAACACAAUCAACCAAAACCUAAAUGAAAUUGUAUUAACAAAAGUUAUAAUAAUAACAAUUUAAAAAAAAAAAAAAAUUAAAUUAGUUCAAUUGGUGGAACAGACACCCAAAUCCAAACCAAUACCACCAAAUCAACCGAAGUUGGUUUUAAUUAUUAUUCUGAAAUUAAUGGACAUGUUAAGUACAUUUAUUAAGUAAAACAGCCUCAGCUUUUGGGGGAAAGUAAUCAUACCACAAUUUUAGCAGCAGCAAGAGCUUCACCGUCUACUUGUGCUCCAGGAAUCCCAGCAUUGUUUACCUAAACAAAGUGUUUCAAAUAUUUGUAGUCAUUCAAGAUGAACUAGAAACUAUCUCGCAUAUAUAAUAAUAACCUAUAAUUUUUCAUUUGUAAAAUAUUUUGUGUGACUGUAUCAAUGAAACUCAUGGAUAUAGCUCAUCUUAAGUGUUCAACAAAGUAAAUAUUUUUCAACCUUAAAAGAAAUUUUUUUUGAAAAAAUGACUUCAAUUUUUCAGAAACAAAGUCAAGUCAAUUCUAAUUGAGAACCUCGAAUUAGUUCAAUCUUAGAGACAAACUCAAUUAUAAUCGAGAACCUCCUAGCAUCAAAAUAAGUUUGAAGUCUUCAGAAUCACUUUUGACUCUCAAAAUUGAAUCUAAACAUGCCCUUCACUUUUUUAGCGUGUGUUUGGUUUUGGGGUGACAAAUAUUGUCUCUAAAUUUGAUUCUAGCUAGAUGUGUCUUGAAUAUAGCGUAAUUUAUGUUUAGAUACAUUAUGUGUAAAGGUGAAUUAAAUAAUAAAUUCAAACCUAAAAUAUAUUGUAGAGUCAAAAGAUGUAGAUUCUAGUUUGAAGUUAAAAUCAAUUCACAGGACAAAAUAAAUUAUAUCUUUUUGAAUAUGUCCAAACAUGUCAAAAUCAAUUCUACACCACAAACUCAAUUUUACCUCUCUAAAAACGGAAUGAAACAUACAAUAAAUUGAAUCACUAUUUUAGAUCAUGUGCAAAUUCAAAAUUCAGAUAUAUUUUGUGUACUUCUCUAGAAACACAUAAGAAACAUGAAAAUGACAAAAGACAAGAUAAAUUUGAACUUUCUUACCAAGAUAUCUAGUUUACCAAAUUGAUUCUUGAUAAAAUCUACAAAUGAUCUUAUACUUGCAUGAUCUAUGACAUCAAGUUGUUGGAAAACAACAAGACCAGGCAAAGAAAGCUGUUUCAAUUUCUCAACAGCUUCAAGACCUCUCUUUUCAUCUCUUGCAGUAAGCACCACAGUGAUCCCUUUAGAAGCCAAUUGAUUGCAUACUGCAAAUCCUAUUCCUUUGUUUGCUCCUGUAACAACUGCAUAUCUAGAAACAAGAUUAACAAGGUUGUAUUAUGUGUCAUUGUCAUGAAGCUUUUGGUUAACUGUGUGUGUCUAUAUAUAUAUAUAUAUAUUGAAGGUGUGUUUAAAAAAAAAAAAAUGUAAGGUAUAUUGAAGAAACAAAAGGGUAAGAAAAAUUAGAUUCUACAUUGUUGUUGCUUCUGCCAUUGAUAUGGUAAGAGUGAGGUGCUAGCAAAUAUGUGUUGACCAAAAUGAAGAUUAUAAAUUAAAAUGGGUUUGUAGUUAUAUGUUUAUAACUUUCUAUUAAUUAUCUUUAAAUAUUAGUUCCAACAACUAUUUUACCAGCCAAAGAAAAUAUUCUUUAUUUUAUGAUAAAAAGAGUAAGUGAAUCCCCGUGAGCUUAGCUCAGUUGGUAGGGAUAUUGCAUAUUAUAUGCAGGAGCUGGGGUUCGAACCCCGGACACUCCACUUCUCCACAAUUAAAUUGUGUGAGCUCUAACCACUAGGCUACUUGACCAAAAAAAAAAAAAAAAGAGUAAGUGAAUUGAAAGCCGGACCUCAAAGUUAAAGAGUCUUUAUAGAGGUACACUUACAAAUCAGCUAUCAUAGAGGUGAGAGAGUUAACUUGUUACCAACUGAGUCAAAAAUAAUCGACAUAAUUUUUCGUUUUUCGUAUAAGCAAUAAAUUUUUGUUUUAAUAAUGUUUUUUUUUUUAUGAAGUUUUGUGGGAAUUACGUUUUAAUAGGAAUCUUUUUAUUGCGCUAGCGCGUGUAGAUUAUCAACGAAAUAUUAUAGAAAUUUUGCGUGUAAAUUGCAAACGAUAUUUUAUAUAACUCUUUUAUAUAAAUUAAAAUGAUAAGUAUAGAUAUUUGUGACUUUCAAAUGUAUCAAACUCAACAAAUCAUAUUUAUCUUUUUCAAUGACAACAAUAAUAUAACAAAUAUAAUAAAAAAUUCUUAUAUUUUUUAAUCACAACAACAAUAUAACAUUAUUAUAGAAAAAUUUAUGUAAGAGUAUAAUUGAAAUAACAAAAAAGUUUGCCCAAAAUCCAGAUUUAGUGUAGUAGUUAUUAUUUAUUUCCUCAAUAAUAAUUUAUAUGAUUUUGGAUUAGUAAUGCCACAUGUAUAAACUGCAACUGUUCAAGCGCAAUAUUGAUGAUUCCUUUUCGCAAUCUAUGAAUUUUAUAAGCAUUGGUAUAUGUGUGUCUGAUGAUGAUGAAGUUUUUCUUCUAGCCAAAACCAUAAAUUUAUCUCCUUGAGUUCUGCUCCAGUUGGCGAAGCUUUAGGUUUGUUUAAUGAUGUAGAAUGAUUAAGUGCAUGAAGAUGGAUAUUGUCAACUUUGUUGUGGAUUCUAAAACAAUCAACGACAUUUUUUACUCCAACAAACCUUAUGUUUCAAAAUUUGGUCAUAUCAUAUCAUGGUGCCAGAGACUUUCACAUUUUUUUUAGAGAGUGAUAAAUUAAUACUUAUGAUUAAUAUAUUUUUAAGUUUAAGAAUAUUAUAACAACAUAUAUUAAAAAAAAAUCAAUACAAAGUAAUUGUUUUCAGCCAAUAAUUAUCUAUCUUUCACAUUGUUUUCUUACAACAAAUAUUAAUCCUUGCUCAAAAUGGUUUCUCCUCAUUUCUAACAAAAAAGUGACCAGAACUACCAUCAGAUAGCAAUGCCAACCUCAGAAUUGAUUCAGCACCUUCAUCAGGUGUUAGAUAACCUGUAUUGUAAUUUAUAUCUGUUUUCACAAAGCCAGGACAAACAGCAUUGAUGCAUAUUGAUGGAUACUUCUUGGCUGCAACUCUUGUAUAGGCACUUAGAGAAGCUUUUGAGAUAAUGUAUGUAGACAUGCUAUUAA
rnacentral:lncRNA from 1 species